UGUGGUCAUUGCACUCUCGCCAGAAGUGGCCGAUGGAUAAUUAAGAGAGAGACAGAAGUGGAUGGUGGCUCAACAUCGGCUAAUGAUGUAAUUGUUAACUCAUUAAUUUUCUUUUUAUUUGAAGAUUUAGAACAUCAUUGUAUAAAUUUUACAUGUAUAUUAGAGAUAAUUUUUUGACGGUGCACAAGUGUUCUUGUCCUGACUCCAUAGCCUUGCCAAGAACACAGCAAGGCCACACCACAUACGAGGGAAGAAGGAUAAGACAAGGUAACCAGUGGUGGAGUUCAUGGCACAUGAAGACCGGAGACUCUCCUCCUCGAGAUACGAACCCCAAAUCUAAGCUAAACCCAGCGGAACCGGUGAUCCAGAUCCCCGGGCCCCACCCAUCAGACGACGACCGGCCGAGCCAGGAGAAGACGCACAGGGACAUGGCCCCUCCGGUACCACCCCUUGUUCUGGGCGACACAAUGGGCACAGAAACAAACAACGGCGGGCGAGGAGGGAGAGGGGGCAACUCGGCCGAUGGGUGACUGAAAAGGGAGCCAGCGUCGUGUUGGCCCUUCGGCGCAGGGUUGGGGUCUGGCCCUUCGGCGGAGCGUUGGGGUCACCGAAGCGCUUGGAGAACGGUGAGCCGCUUCACAGUCUUUGACUCAGAAGCAGCUGCGUCUCCUUUUCCUCGUUGUUUAGUCUGCCUAAUGGUGGAAAGCUCGUUUUAAAGAAACACCGCGACACACUUGACCGUGAACAUGCAUGCAUGACUGCAUAUGCUGUCGAGGGCGAUUAGAAAUGCAUGCUAGAAAAGAUCCAGCUGUCUCGGUGUCCACUAUUGGUUGCAAUUUAAUCUUGAUACUUUGGUUGCAGCUUUAAUAGUAGGAUCAUUCUUAAGAUCGGAUGUGAAAUCACGCAUAGUUUACAAGAGGUAGUGGUCAAGUUGUAUUUGUGGAUAUCACAUCAAAGGAUUAAAUGCAGCAAACGGAGCAGUAAACAGCUCGGUUGCAGGGAACCAAACAUGAGUAGAGUAUUGUAAAAGAGUGGAUUCAGAGAACCCAUGGUUUGGAAGGUUCUCGCCAACCUUACAGGCUCAGAACUUUUGACCGAGAGAGGCCGGAGAGGGAGGCUUGUCGAAGCAUCAAAGCUCAAAUGACUCACGGUUGUCAUGGGAUUUGUGAGCUCCUCCUCCAUUAGCCAUUCAAAGUGGGUGGUGGUUGGCAUGGAAUUUCAUUAACAAAAGGCCAUGGAAAUGAACCUUUACACUGCAGAGCAACCGGUCCAGAAGACAUCCUCAAAAGUGAAAGAUGCAAACAUCCCCUAAAUGAUGCAUGUCCAGCAUAAAGCUGAAGCUAAUCGAUCAUAAAGUGGCUGAAAUAUCUCAAUCUUCAACGCGCGAUGCAUGUCCCAUCAAAUCAUCUUCACCACUUGCCAUUUGUGACCUUGAGAAAUCUCCAGCAUCCAAUCUAAAUCCACAGUGGGAACAAGCCAAAGAACAGAACAGCGCAGUGGAAAUUUGAAGCCAUUGGUGGAAAUAUCAAGAUAUUUAUCGUUGUAGAAAUUUAGUCAGCCUCUUGUUUCAGAAAAAAAAAAAGAAUUAUAAGCCAGCUGCAAAUGUUCUACAUAUCCCAGGAGAUGAUGAUUUGGAUGGUAAAAGUUUGAGUCAAUUCAAUAUGUUUUUGGGUGAAAUAUGAUAUUUAAUUAUCCAUCCGUAUCACAGUUUAAACAGUGCUGAUUUCUAAGUUCACAGUCAGAAGCAGAAAAAAAAGAAAAAGAAAAAUCUUAGUUCAUUAUGUGUUCGAAUAUCUGACAACAAUCACAUAAGCAAGUCAUGUGAUAUUGAUUUUAUCUUUAGA